CUCUGGUUGUUAAGCCCAAGCUUAAAAACGCGUUAACAUUCCGAACACGCCAGUUAAAGGCUUGGCGCUCUUGGGGUACUCGGUUUCGGGGAGAACGGGAUCUGCCAGUGGGCUGCUAUGGGGUGGAGU
rnacentral:rRNA from 1 species